ensembl:miRNA xtr-mir-16b xtr-mir-16b
AAUUGCUCCGCAUUAGCAGCACGUAAAUAUUGGGUGAUAUGAUAUGGAGCCCCAGUAUUAUUGUACUGCUUAAGUGUGGCAAGG